rnacentral:lncRNA from 1 species
AAAGGGGGUGUUUUUGCAAAUGCAACUUACAUAUCAAUUUACGGAAAUGAAAAGCUUUGUGGUGGAACACCUCAACUUCAAUUAGCUCCAUGUUCCAUGCCUGUUGUGGAAAAGAAGAGGAAAAUGUCAAAAUCUCUUAUGGUCACUUUAACAUCAAUCAGCACACUUGUAAUCUUGGUUCUAGUGGCUGCUCUUGUUCAGUUGAUCCCCAAGAAGCUCAAAAAAAGGCGUCAAAGUCAAAUCAUACCCACAAUCGAGGAACAAUAUGAAAGAGUUUCUUAUCAAGAAUUGUCAAAUGGGACCAAUGGUUCGUCAAAGGAUAAUUUGGUUGGACAAGGAAGUUAUGGCGUGGUUUAUAAAUGUACUUUACAAAAUCAGGGCACUACGUCAGCUGUAAAGGUGUUUAACAUACAACAACCUGGAUCUGCUAGGAGUUUUGAAGCUGAAUGUGAGGCAUUGAGAAGGGUGCGUCACCAUUGUCUCAUGAACAUCAUCACCUGCUGCUCAAGCAUCAAUCAUCAAGGUUAAGAGUUCAAGGCACUUGUUUUUGAGUUCAUGCCAAAUGGUAGCCUGAAUGAUUGGCUUCACCCAAAGUCUGACACAUUUGCUCAAACAAACACUCUUAGCCUAGUUCAAAGGUUACACAUUGCUGUAAAUAUCGUGGAUGCUUUGGACUAUCUUCAUAAUCAUUGUGAGCCAUCAAUCAUUCAUUGCGAUCUCAAACCGAGCAACAUCCUUCUUGCAGAAGACAUGAGUGCUCGAGUUGGAGACUUUGGCAUAUCAAGAAUCCUUCAAGAAAAUCCUAGUAACACAGUACAAAAUUCGAAUAGCACAAUUGGAAUACGAGGCUCUAUUGAUUAUGUUGCCCCAGGCAAUUGUAAUACGAGGUCAAAGACUGCACAGUGAACUCUAGACCCGUCAAAGAAGUAACGAUAUAAUUUAUUCCGCCUAGGAAUCAAGGAAGAAUGACCCUCUGAUGGUCCUUGCUCCUGCAACAGAAACUAGUACAAGUCAAACACGAUGUCCCCAUCACUCUUUGGCAGCUAGCCACUCACAUAUGGACAUCACAGGAUCAAGAUAGCACAUCAAGCAACAUAGUUACCACACCAACAGAUAUGGACAUGCAGUCAGCAACGACCUUGCUCCUGCUAUCCGCCUCCAUAUUCAUCUCCAUCCCAGCGGCUGCAGAAGCCGACGACCAGGCCACACUGCUCGCAUUCAAGGCCGCGGCAACUCGCGGUGGCCAUGGCAACGCACUUGCUUCGUGGAACAGCAGCAGCGCCGGCGGGUUCUGCAGCUGGGAGGGUGUUACCUGCGGGAGCAGGCACCGGAGAGUGGUGGCGCUGAGCCUGCGUUCCCACGGGCUCACCGGCGUCCUCUCGCCGGUGAUCGGGAACCUGUCAUUCCUCAGGACUCUCAACCUGAGCAAGAACGGGUUCAACGGGAACGUUCCCGCGAGCCUUGGCCGUUUGCGCCACCUGCAGGCCCUCAACUUGAGCUACAACGCCUUCUCCGGUGAGCUCCCAGCCAACCUGUCCUCAUGCACUAGUUUAACGAUCAUGGCCCUCCAGUCCAACCAUCUCCAAGGGUACAUACCUCCCGAGCUCGGUGACAAUCUAGCACGCCUCACGAGGCUCCAACUGCGGGAAAACAACCUGAUUGGAACCAUUCCAGCAUCACUUGGCAACUUGUCGUCACUGCGUAUGCUGGACCUCGCAUCCAACCAGUUCGACGGCGCCAUCCCUCCCAGUCUUGGUAGCAUCCUCGGCCUCCAGUAUCUUAAUCUCGCCUUCAACAACCUCUCCGGCGAGUUCCCCAACUCAUUGUACAACUUGUCUUCGUUGCAAGUGUUGGAAACUCUAUCCAACGUGCUCGAGGGAAGCAUUCCUGCAGACAUCGGAAGUAGAUUCCCCAAGAUGUGGUUACUUACCUUUGCUCAUAACAGGUUCACCGGAACCAUCCCAUCUUCGUUCUCCAACCUCACUUCUCUCCAAGGACUAGACCUCUCUGUAAACAUGCUCAGUGGAUAUUUGCCUCCCACACUUGGUAGGCUACCAGCUCUGCAAGGUCUAUACUUGUACGGCAACAUGUUGGAAACAGACAAAAUGCAGCUACGGGAAUUCAUUACUUCGUUGUCAAACUGUAGUCAACUCCGGCUAUUAAUGCUCAAUGACAAUGCCGGUCUCGCUGGGCAGCUGCCAAGUUCAGUAGUGAAUCUCUCAACAAGCCUCCAAGUUCUCCGCUUCGAUUUCACAAGUAUCUCGGGGACAAUUCCCUCAGCCAUCAGCAAUUUGGUCAACCUCCGAAUCUUCAUUGCAGGGGCUACUUCCAUAUCUGGAUUAAUUCCAAAGAGCAUUGGAGAACUGACAAACUUGGGAUGGCUAGGUUUGCACCAAACUAACUUGUCGGGUCGAAUACCUUCAUCUAUUGGAAAUCUCUCAAAUUUAGUUAGCCUUCUUGCCCACGACAGCAAUCUGGAGGGACCAAUUCCAGCAAGCAUAGUGAACAUGACUAAUUUAUUGAAACUCGAUCUAGCAAUGAACCGUCUGAAUGGUUCGCUUCCCAAAGAGAUUUUCAAAUUACCAGUAAUCUCUAUUUACUUAAACCUGUCAUACAAUUCACUAUCAGGAUCACUCCCCUCUGAAGUUGGUAGCUUUGGAAACCUUAACAGCCUGGUUCUCUCCGGAAACCAAUUUUCCGGUGAGAUACCAAAUACUAUUGGGGGAUGCAUUGUGCUUCAACAACUUAGAUUGGACAAUAACUUAUUUGAAGGAAGCAUACCUCAAUCUCUCAACAAUAUAAAGGGCCUGAGCGAACUCAACCUAUCAUUGAAUAGGUUGUCUGGUUCUAUUCCUAAUGCCAUUGGAAGCAUAUAUAACGUACAACAGUUGUAUCUAGCAUACAACAAUUUGUCAGGGCCGAUACCUUCAGUUCUGCAAAAUUUGACAUCAUUAUCAAGGUUGGACCUGUCCUUUAACAAUCUGGAAGGGGAAGUGCCAAAAGAUGGCAUUUUUAGAAACUUGACCAACCUGUCGAUUUCUGGAAACAAUGAACUUUGUGGUGGAAUACCUCAGCUUCAUUUAGCACCAUGCAAAAUGGACUCUGUGAAAAAGAAUAGAGAAGGGCGGUCAAAGUCUCUAACAAUAGCUCUGACAACUAUUGGUGCGAUCUUUUUCUUAACUUUGGUUACAGUUUCAAUUCAGAUCAUCUCUAAGAAACUUAGACGAAAGCAACAGAGCCCAUUCCAACCACCAAUAGUUGAUGAACAGUAUGAAAGAGUUUCUUAUCAAGCAAUAGCAAAUGGAACCAAUGGUUUUUCAGAAGCCAAUUUGCUAGGUAAAGGAAGUUUUGGCAUGGUCUAUAAAUGCACUUUCCAAGAUGAGGGAACUAUUGCUGCAGUGAAGGUUUUUAACCUUGAGCAAUCCGGAUCUACUAGAAGUUUUGUGGCUGAAUGUGAAGCGCUUAGAAGGGUGCGGCACCGUAGUCUCAUAAAGAUCAUUACAUGCUGCUCAAGCAUCAAUCACCAAGGCCAAGAGUUCA